UACGAAGGGUGCAAGCGUUAAUCGGAAUUACUGGGCGUAAAGGGUGCGUAGGCGGUUGUUUAAGUCUGUCGUGAAAUCCCCGGGCUCAACCUGGGAAUGGCGAUGGAUACUGGGCAGCUAGAGUGUGUCAGAGGAUGGUGGAAUUCCCGGUGUAGCGGUGAAAUGCGCAGAGAUCGGGAGGAACAUCAGUGGCGAAGGCGGCCAUCUGGGACAACACUGACGCUGAAGCACGAAAGCGUGGGGAGCAAACAGG
rnacentral:rRNA from 1 species